rnacentral:lncRNA from 1 species
GAAUGCUUUAGGGUGAUCAAGUUUCCAAUUUUUGGAGUACUUUGGCAGCAUGAGCAUUUGGUUUACUAAAUCAUUUGUCUUUUUAUCUUCUAUCCUCUUUCAAAUAAAAGAGACAAACAGUGCAAAUGUAAGGUCUUUCACAAUGAACAUGUCGUAUGUCUUUUAGAUGUAUGACUUAUGAAAUAGUCAUAAUAGAACUGCUAAUUCCCUCCCCUCUACUAGAAGAGAAGUUCUCAAGAGGAGAAAAUACAAGAAAGAAACAGAACUUUCCCAAGUGUCAGCACCACACAAACUUGAGUUGUUAAGAAAAGAGAGUGAAAUGGGAGUUGGAAUCCAACAUCAGAAGGUUGUAGAAUGACCAGUGUUCCUACUGAAAGCCUAUAUUUCAAUGGGAAUGGACUCUCGCUGUGUUUUUGGGGUUGCACAUGGAGUCCUCAGAUGAAAGGAUGCUCUGAAAGUCCACACUUCUCUUCCCAAACACUAUCAACUUUUCAAGCCACCAUUAUUAAGGAGAACUCCCAGCUGGAAUCAUCCUUAUUUCCUUAUGCAAAUAGAUCACUGGAUAUGUGACUCACUGCACCAUUGAAUCCUGGGAUCAAAUUAACUUACAUUUUCAUGGCUGCGUAGCUCAUGAGCAAUUUUCCAGUCUCUCCCUGUGACUAAGGAGGAAUUGUGUACUAAGACGAUGUAUCCAAAGAUGAAAGUACCCUGAAUCACUGAGACUGCUGCUCUGAAGUCAUCCAGGACUGCAGCAGAUGGAAUGUGAGCAAGUGUAGUGGAAACUCCACGAGCAAGAAAUGAACCCGUGAGGUACCGAGUCCCUGAAUUUUAGA